CCUGGCUCAGAACGAACGCUGGCGGCGUGCUUAACACAUGCAAGUCGAACGCGAAAGGGACUUCGGUCCUGAGUAAAGUGGCGCACGGGUGAGUAACGCGUAGAUAACCUGUCUUCAUGUCUGGAAUAAUACGCCGAAAGGGGUACUAAUACCGGAUAUUCUUGCUUUCCAUAAGUUAUGCAAGCAAAGGUGGCCUCUGCAUAUGCUACUGCAUGAAGAGGGGUCUGCGUACCAUUAGCUAGUAGGUGGGGUAAUGGCCUACCUAGGCGACGAUGGUUAGCGGGUCUGAGAGGAUGAUCCGCCACACUGGCACUGGAACACGGGCCAGACUCCUACGGGAGGCAGCAGUGAGGAAUAUUGCGCAAUGGGGGAAACCCUGACGCAGCGACGCCGCGUGAGUGAGGAAGGCCUUCGGGUCGUAAAGCUCUGUCAAGAGGAAAGAAGUGUACAAUGGCUAAUACCUGUUGUAUUUGACGGUACCUCUAAAGGAAGCACCGGCUAACUCCGUGCCAGCCGCCGC
rnacentral:rRNA from 1 species